rnacentral:misc_RNA from 1 species
ACCAUCCUCCUCAUCAUCCCAAUCUUCAGGCUUGGUAGCCUCAGGAUCAUCAACAUCCUCAGGCUCAUCAUCCAACCAUCCUUCGGGCUUUACAGCUUCCUCAUCUUCAAUUUCCAUUGGUGCAUCCUCAUCCCAAUCAUCAGGUUUCUUAGCAUCUGGGUCUGGAAUCUUGGCUCUCUCAUCCCAGUCCUCCGGCUUCUUGUCUUCUGGGUCUGGAAUGGUCACAGCAGGAAUAAGUGGUGGCUCAAAAUCAUCAGAUGAGAGGAAGUUAGCCUUCUUCUUUUCUUCUCCGUCAACCAAGAUAAGAACAUCAUUGUCCGGUUUCAACACAGCAGUGUAAACAUGAGUUAGCUUGUCAGCUGGUACAGAGGGAGGAAACUUGAGGUGGUGCUCAACGUAUUCUCCACUCUUAGGGUUCUUGUGUUUCAAAAUGAAGUGCACCUUGUUUGUGGCUCCGCAUUUAUCAGGUCCAAACAUUAUUGUGUAGGGGGACUCGUUAUCAAAACCCUUUGCGGUCCACCCUGCUUCCUGGGGGCGGAGGUAUUUUAUGUAAGCACCACCACAUUCAAGUCCAUCCUGGAGGCGAACCUCAUAUUGAAGAACCACAGUUCCAUCUUUGAGGUCAACAACAUUGUCAAGCUCCUUGACAAUAGCGUAUUUCCUAGCCUUCUCACUA